GUGCAGCAGUCGCGAAUUUUUCUCAAUGGGGGAAACCCUGAAGGAGCGACGCCGCGUGGAGGAUGAAGGCUUUCGGGUUGUAAACUCCUGUCAUUUGGGAACAAGUUGGACGCAGUUACUACGCGUCCACUGAUAGUACCAGAAGAGGAAGAGACGGCUAAACUCUGUUGCCAGCAGCCGCGGUAAUACAGAGGUCUCAAGCGUUGUUCGGAUUCAUUGGGCGUAAAGGGUGCGUAGGUGGCGUCGUAAGUCAGAUGUGAAAUCUCGGGGCUUAACUCCGAAACUGCAUUUGAUACUGCGGUGCUUCGAGGACUGGAGAGGAGACUGGAAUUUACGGGUGUAGCAGUGAAAUGCGUAGAGAUCGUAAGGAAGACCAGUGGCGAAGGCGGGUCUCUGGACAGUUCCUGACACUGAGGCACGAAGGCCAGGGGAGC
rnacentral:rRNA from 1 species